rnacentral:rRNA from 1 species
UACGUAGGGUGCAAGCGUUGUCCGGAAUUAUUGGGCGUAAAGAGCUCGUAGGCGGUCUGUCGCGUCUGCUGUGAAAACUCGGGGCUUAACUCCGGGCCUGCAGUGGGUACGGGCAGACUAGAGUGCGGUAGGGGAGACUGGAAUUCCUGGUGUAGCGGUGAAAUGCGCAGAUAUCAGGAGGAACACCGGUGGCGAAGGCGGGUCUCUGGGCCGUAACUGACGCUGAGGAGCGAAGGCGUGGGGAGCGAACAGG